UAAGGAAUAUUGGUCAAUGGGCGCAAGCCUGAACCAGCCAUGCCGCGUGCAGGAUGACGGCCCUAUGGGUUGUAAACUGCUUUUGUACGGGAAAAAACCCUCGCUCGUGAGCGGGGCUGAUGGUACCGUAAGAAUAAGGAUCGGCUAACUCCGUGCCAGCAGCCGCGGUAAUACGGAGGAUCCUAGCGUUAUCCGGAUUUAUUGGGUUUAAAGGGUGCGCAGGCGGAAUUAUAAGUCAGUGGUGAAAUCCUACAGCUUAACUGUAGAACUGCCAUUGAUACUGUUAUUCUUGAGUAUAUUUGAAGUGGGCGGAAUGUGUCAUGUAGCGGUGAAAUGCUUAGAUAUGACACAGAACACCAAUUGCGAAGGCAGCUCACUAAACUAUAACUGACGCUCAUGC
rnacentral:rRNA from 1 species